UCUAAGUGUUUUAUGGGUAGUAAAAGUAGUACUUGAAACCUAAAAUUUUUGGCGGUUUUUUAGUCUGGUUAGAGGAAUCUGUCCUGUAAUGGAUGUUCCGCUUUUUUUUUAACUUUAGAGAAAGUUUAUAUAUCGCCGUCGUAAAGUGAGUUUUUUAGAUUUCGUUGGAUAGCUGCUGAGAAGAGGAGAGAUGACAGGUCAAGGUGUAGCUUAUGCUAGAGGGUGAGAUGGAUUACAAUCUUUAAUUGAAGAAAUGGAUGUCAGUGAGAAUAAGUUGUUGAUUGAAGGUGGAUUUAUGAGUAAUUGUUAAUUAAGAUGGAAUUAUGAAAUUGGCUCUGGAAAAUGU
rnacentral:rRNA from 1 species